GACGAACGCUGGCGGCGUGCUUAACACGUGCAAGUCGAACGGUAAGGCCCUUCGGGGUACACGAGUGGCGAACGGGUGAGUAACACGUGGGUGAUCUGCCCUGCACUUCGGGAUAAGCCUGGGAAACUGGGUCUAAUACCGGAUAGGACCACUGCCUGCAUGGGUGGUGGUGGAAAGCCUUUGCGGUGUGGGAUGGGCCCGCGGUCUAUCAGCUUGUUGGUGGGGUGAUGGCCUACCAAGGCGACGACGGGUAGCCGGCCUGAGAGGGUGACCGGCCACACUGGGACUGAGAUACGGCCCAGACUCCUACGGGAGGCAGCAGUGGGGAAUAUUGCACAAUGGGCGCAAGCCUGAUGCAGCGACGCCGCGUGAGGGAUGACGGCCUUCGGGUUGUAAACCUCUUUCAGCACCGACGAAGCGCAAGUGACGGUAGGUGCAGAAGAAGGACCGGCCAACUACGUGCCAGCCGCCGCGGUAA
rnacentral:rRNA from 1 species